GCACAUUUUGAGUUCAUGUUUCCAGUCAUCUGUUGUCACGCUUCCUUGCUAUCAAGAUGAGGAAACUGAAGACUGAAGACACUAAGUGAUUUGCACAUGGUCACACCACCAGCCAGAGCCUGGAACAAAAUAAAUGCUUAAUAGAUGUUUGUCGAUGUGUUUGUUGAAGCUAACUGAGCAAAAGAGAUGGAGCUGCUUUGAUACACAUGGAACUGCCUAUUACAUGUGACAUUUGACUCUUAGAGCAGUGUUCCCCAAAGCCCUAUCAGAACAUUCAAAAAUGAAGCCUGACCAAACCAGUCACAAGAAAACUGAACCACUUUUUACUUACGUAAGUAGGAAGAAUCAAUU